GUCUACGGCCAUACCACCCUGAACGCACCCGAUCUCAUCUGAUCCCGGAAGCUAAGCAGGGUCGGGCCUGGUUAGUACUUGGAUGGGAGAAAUAAUCAGCAGAGUAAACA
rnacentral:rRNA from 1 species